GAAAUUUUAAAAUGUUCUGGAAGUGUUUUGAUUAAGCAGUGCAGCAUAGAAGCAAUGGUUCUGUUCAGUCAUUCAGAUGUUAGUGGAAGCAUAAGAGUCAAGACUGCAUGUUGAACAUUUUCUUUUGAUAGUUACAGAACUGCUUGGUUAAACUAAAUGGAACCAUGUGCUAGUUUUACACAAUUACUGACCUGUAUUGACUGCCACUGCGGUUUGGCAUUUGCCUUUACUUUGGUGGCUUGCUUCCCUCAUGCCCUGGAAUACAACUCAGAGCUCCAGGCAGCGGAACCAUCUAUUGUUUGUUUGCCAGAAAGUGCACCCUGUACGGUCUCCUGUCUAAGUUGGAAAUAUUAUGCAUGUGCAGGACUAUUCGAGUAUUUUAUAAACAG
rnacentral:lncRNA from 1 species